rnacentral:rRNA from 1 species
AUGGAUCAGAGAAGAUAUAAUGCGCUAACCACUUCGGAAGUAGCAGUUGUGUGGGUGGAGGGCAGUGAACGUCGAAGAAAGUUCGGUAAUAGUGUCAUCCUGCAUGGGAAGAAUAGAGAUAUAUAUGGAAUUAAGUCCUAUCAUGGAUGCUAUGAUGCGGUGUCGUACCCUCUAUUCUUCCCUAGAGGCGAACAUGGGUGA